rnacentral:rRNA from 1 species
UACGGAGGAUGCAAGCGCUAUCCGGAUUUAUUGGGUUUAAAGGGUGCGCAGGUUGUUUGAUAGGUCAGUGGUGAAAGUCUGUCGCUUAACGGUAGGAUUGCCAUUGAUACUGUUGGACUUGAAUAUGGAUGAGGUAGGCGGAAUGUGUAGUGUAGCGGUGAAAUGCAUAGAUAUUACACAGAACACCGAUUGCGAAGGCAGCUUACUAAUCCAUCAUUGACGCUGAGGCACGAAAGCGUGGGGAUCAAA